rnacentral:misc_RNA from 1 species
UUGAAUAACUUGGUGUUGAGCUGGCCCUAUUGGGUAUGUGCUCGCAUCAUAUUAUUUACUAUCUCUUGUGCACCUUUUGUAGUCUUUGAAGUGUUCGCAGUCAAUGCGGUUUUGGGGCUUGGGCUUUGCUGCUCUUUUCCCUGUUCGCUUCAAAGGCUAUGUUUUUAUACACACUAUUGAAGUUACAGAAUGUCUCUUAUUGACUUUCGAGUCAGUAAAUCUAUA